AGGGCUCUAGGUUAUGAAAUCAAACCGUUAGGACGACUUGACUUUCCAGAGAUAUUGAAUUGGGCAAUAUCUACUAGAAACACUCACUUUCUAAUUCUGGAUCCAAGGAAAAGUAAACUUGAAGCAAACGGCCAUCUCUUGUUAACAGCAAGACACUUGCUAUCCGCGUGUCCUUGUAUUAAAUCACUACUUUGCACUUUUAACAUCCGGCUUUGUUAUUUCCUUCCAAUGCAUUGGAAAUGAUGAAGGUAGCAAGGAAUGGUGACAAUUGUAAAGCUGCUUCUAUCGCAAUUUCUCCAUCAAGUAACCUUCAGCGGAUUUCUUUUUUCAUAAAAUUCCUGGCAGAACAGCGACAUGAACAAACAAUGUUGACAUGUAGGCCUCAGCAGAGCUACCGGCACAUUAGAUCGACCUGUGAGCGUCGUCGGUCUCCCCCGAUGCCAAGUUUCACAGGUCAGGAUGGCCGAGCGGUCUAAGGCGCUGCGUUCAGGUCGCAGUCUCCCCUGGAGGCGUGGGUUCAAAUCCCACUUCUGACAGCUUUUCUUUGCUUGCGUUCACAUUCUCCAGCUCGUCUACCGCUGAACCUCUAACACAAAAAAUAACUUGUGUUCCAUUCCAACCAAAAGGGCUCCAUAGCUCAGGGGUUAGAGCACUGGUCUUGUAAACCAGGGGUCGCGAGUUCAAAUCUCGCUGGGGCCUUCCUGCAAAAGUUGGCAAACCUAUCUCACAUAGCAGCGUAAUCAGAUUUUUUCCACAAAGUCCCAAACAUGAGGGGGGAAAUGUUUCAAGGGCUCUAGGUUAUGAAAUCAAACCGUUAGGACGACUUGACUUUCCAGAGAUAUUGAAUUGGGCAAUAUCUACUAGAAACACUCACUUUCUAAUUCUGGAUCCAAGGAAAAGUAAACUUGAAGCAAACGGCCAUCUCUUGUUAACAGCAAGACACUUGCUAUCCGCGUGUCCUUGUAUUAAAUCACUACUUUGCACUUUUAACAUCCGGCUUUGUUAUUUCCUUCCAAUGCAUUGGAAAUGAUGAAGGUAGCAAGGAAUGGUGACAAUUGUAAAGCUGCUUCUAUCGCAAUUUCUCCAUCAAGUAACCUUCAGCGGAUUUAUUUUUUCAUAAAAUUCCUGGCAGAACAGCGACAUGAACAAACAAUGUUGACAUGUAGGCCUCAGCAGAGCUACCGGCACAUUAGAUCGACCUGUGAGCGUCGUCGGUCUCCCCCGAUGCCAGGUUUCACAGGUCAGGAUGGCCGAGCGGUCUAAGGCGCUGCGUUCAGGUCGCAGUCUCCCCUGGAGGCGUGGGUUCAAAUCCCACUUCUGACAGCUUUUCUUUGCUUGCGUUCACAUUCUCCAGCUCGUCUACCGCUGAACCUCUAACACAAAAAAUAACUUGUGUUCCGUUCCAACCAAAAGGGCUCCAUAGCUCAGGGGUUAGAGCACUGGUCUUGUAAACCAGGGGUCGCGAGUUCAAAUCUCGCUGGGGCCUUCCUGCAAAAGUUGGCAAACCUAUCUCACAUAGCAGCGUAAUCAGAUUUUUUCCACAAAGUCCCAAACAUGAGGGGGGAAAUGUUUCAAGGGCUCUAGGUUAUGAAAUCAAACCGUUAGGACGACUUGACUUUCCAGAGAUAUUGAAUUGGGCAAUAUCUACUAGAAACACUCACUUUCUAAUUCUGGAUCCAAGGAAAAGUAAACUUGAAGCAAACGGCCAUCUCUUGUUAACAGCAAGACACUUGCUAUCCGCGUGUCCUUGUAUUAAAUCACUACUUUGCACUUUUAACAUCCGGCUUUGUUAUUUCCUUCCAAUGCAUUGGAAAUGAUGAAGGUAGCAAGGAAUGGUGACAAUUGUAAAGCUGCUUCUAUCGCAAUUUCUCCAUCAAGUAACCUUCAGCGGAUUUAUUUUUUCAUAAAAUUCCUGGCAGAACAGCGACAUGAACAAACAAUGUUGACAUGUAGGCCUCAGCAGAGCUACCGGCACAUUAGAUCGACCUGUGAGCGUCGUCGGUCUCCCCCGAUGCCAAGUUUCACAGGUCAGGAUGGCCGAGCGGUCUAAGGCGCUGCGUUCAGGUCGCAGUCUCCCCUGGAGGCGUGGGUUCAAAUCCCACUUCUGACAGCUUUUCUUUGCUUGCGUUCACAUUCUCCAGCUCGUCUACCGCUGAACCUCUAACACAAAAAAUAACUUGUGUUCCGUUCCAACCAAAAGGGCUCCAUAGCUCAGGGGUUAGAGCACUGGUCUUGUAAACCAGGGGUCGCGAGUUCAAAUCUCGCUGGGGCCUUCCUGCAAAAGUUGGCAAACCUAUCUCACAUAGCAGCGUAAUCAGAUUUUUUCCACAAAGUCCCAAACAUGAGGGGGGAAAUGUUUCAAGGGCUCUAGGUUAUGAAAUCAAACCGUUAGGACGACUUGACUUUCCAGAGAUAUUGAAUUGGGCAAUAUCUACUAGAAACACUCACUUUCUAAUUCUGGAUCCAAGGAAAAGUAAACUUGAAGCAAACGGCCAUCUCUUGUUAACAGCAAGACACUUGCUAUCCGCGUGUCCUUGUAUUAAAUCACUACUUUGCACUUUUAACAUCCGGCUUUGUUAUUUCCUUUCAAUGCAUUGGAAAUGAUGAAGGUAGCAAGGAAUGGUGACAAUUGUAAAGCUGCUUCUAUCGCAAUUUCUCCAUCAAGUAACCUUCAGCGGAUUUCUUUUUUCAGAAAAUUCCUGGCAGAACAGCGACAUGAACAAACAAUGUUGACAUGUAGGCCUCAGCAGAGCUACCGGCACAUUAGAUCGACCUGUGAGCGUCAUCGGUCUCCCCCGAUGCCAAGUUUCACAGGUCAGGAUGGCCGAGCGGUCUAAGGCGCUGCGUUCAGGUCGCAGUCUCCCCUGGAGGCGUGGGUUCAAAUCCCACUUCUGACAGCUUUUCUUUGCUUGCGUUCACAUUCUCCAGCUCGUCUACCGCUGAACCUCUAACACAAAAAAUAACUUGUGUUCCGUUCCAACCAAAAGG